AAGUCGUAACAAGGUUUCCGUAGGUGAACCUGCGGAAGGAUCAUUAUCGAGUUUUUGAACGGGUUGUAGCUGGCCUUUUAGGCAUGUGCACGCCUGGCUCAUCCACUCUUAACCCCUGUGCACCAUGUGUAAGAAUGAAUGGCGAAAGUCAUAGUUCUUAUGUUUUAUCACAAACGCUUCAGUCUUAGAAUGUCAACUGUGUAUAACACAAAUGUACAACUUUCAGCAACGGAUCUCUUGGCUCUC
rnacentral:misc_RNA from 1 species